GAGUUUGAUCCUGGCUCAGGACGAACGCUGGCGGCGUGCCUAAUACAUGCAAGUCGAGCGAGCGGAACUAACAGAUUUACUUCUGUAAUGACGUUAGGAAAGCGAGCGGCGGAUGGGUGAGUAACACGUGGGGAACCUGCCCCAUAGUCUGGGAUACCACUUGGAAACAGGUGCUAAUACCGGAUAAGAAAGCAGAUCGCAUGAUCAGCUUUUAAAAGGCGGCGUAAGCUGUCGCUAUGGGAUGGCCCCGCGGUGCAUUAGCUAGUUGGUAAGGUAAAGGCUUACCAAGGCGAUGAUGCAUAGCCGAGUUGAGAGACUGAUCGGCCACAUUGGGACUGAGACACGGCCCAAACUCCUACGGGAGGCAGCAGUAGGGAAUCUUCCACAAUGGACGCAAGUCUGAUGGAGCAACGCCGCGUGAGUGAAGAAGGUUUUCGGAUCGUAAAGCUCUGUUGUUGGUGAAGAAGGAUAGAGGUAGUAACUGGCCUUUAUUUGACGGUAAUCAACCAGAAAGUCACGGCUAACUACGUGCCAGCAGCCGCGGUAAUACGUAGGUGGCAAGCGUUGUCCGGAUUUAUUGGGCGUAAAGCGAGCGCAGGCGGAAGAAUAAGUCUGAUGUGAAAGCCCUCGGCUUAACCGAGGAACUGCAUCGGAAACUGUUUUUCUUGAGUGCAGAAGAGGAGAGUGGAACUCCAUGUGUAGCGGUGGAAUGCGUAGAUAUAUGGAAGAACACCAGUGGCGAAGGCGGCUCUCUGGUCUGCAACUGACGCUGAGGCUCGAAAGCAUGGGUAGCGAACAGGAUUAGAUACCCUGGUAGUCCAUGCCGUAAACGAUGAGUGCUAAGUGUUGGGAGGUUUCCGCCUCUCAGUGCUGCAGCCAACGCAUUAAGCACUCCGCCUGGGGAGUACGACCGCAAGGUUGAAACUCAAAGGAAUUGACGGGGGCCCGCACAAGCGGUGGAGCAUGUGGUUUAAUUCGAAGCGACGCGAAGAACCUUACCAGGUCUUGACAUCUAGUGCCAUUUGUAGAGAUACAAAGUUCCCUUCGGGGACGCUAAGACAGGUGGUGCAUGGCUGUCGUCAGCUCGUGUCGUGAGAUGUUGGGUUAAGUCCCGCAACGAACGCAACCCUUGUUAUUAGUUGCCAGCAUUAAGUUGGGCACUCUAAUGAGACUGCCGGUGACAAACCGGAGGAAGGUGGGGAUGACGUCAAGUCAUCAUGCCCCUUAUGACCUGGGCUACACACGUGCUACAAUGGGCAGUACAACGAGAAGCGAGCCUGCGAAGGCAAGCGAAUCUCUGAAAGCUGUUCUCGGUUCGGACUGCAGUCUGCAACUCGACUGCACGAAGCUGGAAUCGCUAGUAAUCGCGGAUCAGCACGCCGCGGUGAAUACGUUCCCGGGCCUUGUACACACCGCCCGUCACACCAUGGGAGUCUGCAAUGCCCAAAGCCGGUGGCCUAACCUUCGGGAAGGAGCCGUCUAAGGCAGGGCAGAUGACUGGGGUGAAGUCGUAACAAGGUAGCCGUACGGCUACCU
rnacentral:rRNA from 1 species